GCAUGUCUAUAUAGGCCUUAAGUUGAUUGGCGUGGGAUGGCCCAGCCAACUAUGGGUGGUACCAUUCCCUAGGCAGAGGUUUCCUGAACUACAUGAGCUGACUAAUUCUGAGACUCAGAAAUGCUGCUGCCUGGGAUGGAAACCCUAAUCAUCCCUUGCUCAGGAGGACAAAGCAAGGGUAUUGACCCAUGAAGUCAGAGGCUACUGUUGGAUGGCCAAGUCCAAGUACUCAAGAGAUGUUACACAGCCCUCUUUUUACCUCA